rnacentral:lncRNA from 1 species
AAACCCUCUCCAGGAGAAUUCUGCAGUUUUACAAAGUAACACUGGUGCCACUACAAAUGGGACUAGGUACUAUUGGGUCAGUGUGGGAAAGGAGACACAGCAGCAAGGAUAGCUCCUGUAUUCUACCAAGUUUCCUGACCAAUUUCCCGCCUCUCAAUGAAGACACUGAAUACCAGAGAAAACUGAAAAGUAUCAGACGAAACAUGUCCAGUGGCACAUCAAGAUUAAAUAAACUCUGGUGGGAAAACGAUCAUGCAUGGAGGGAUCUUGGUCAGCCAAGAAUGGAGGGAAUCAACUUGAGAAGAUUCUUCUAAUACAGAGGAACAAAACAAACACGCAAAAAUCAAAAACUAUACUGUGCAUCUUGCCAGUGAGAGGGAUCUUUGGAUACUUCCCAAGG